rnacentral:rRNA from 1 species
AGAGUUUGAUCCUGGCUCAGGACGAACGCUGGCGGCGUGCUUAACACAUGCAAGUCGAACGAUGAAGCCAGCUUGCUGGUGGAUUAGUGGCGAACGGGUGAGUAACACGUGGGUGAUCUGCCCUGUACUUUGGGAUAAGCCUGGGAAACUGGGUCUAAUACCGAAUAUUACCUUCUCCUGCAUGGGGGUUGGUGGAAAGCUCCGGCGGUAUGGGAUGGGCCCGCGGCCUAUCAGCUUGUUGGUGGGGUAAUGGCCUACCAAGGCGACGACGGGUAGCCGGCCUGAGAGGGCGACCGGCCACACUGGGACUGAGACACGGCCCAGACUCCUACGGGAGGCAGCAGUGGGGAAUAUUGCACAAUGGGCGCAAGCCUGAUGCAGCGACGCCGCGUGAGGGAUGACGGCCUUCGGGUUGUAAACCUCUUUCACCAGGGACGAAGCGUGAGUGACGGUACCUGGAGAAGAAGCACCGGCCAACUACGUGCCAGCAGCCGCGGUAAUACGUAGGGUGCGAGCGUUGUCCGGAAUUACUGGGCGUAAAGAGCUCGUAGGCGGUUUGUCGCGUCGUUCGUGAAAACUUGGGGCUUAACUCCAAGCGUGCGGGCGAUACGGGCAGACUUGAGUACUACGGGGGAGACUGGAAUUCCUGGUGUAGCGGUGAAAUGCGCAGAUAUCAGGAGGAACACCGGUGGCGAAGGCGGGUCUCUGGGUAGUAACUGACGCUGAGGAGCGAAAGCGUGGGUAGCGAACAGGAUUAGAUACCCUAGUAGUCC